GCGGCUGUAGUCUAGCCUGGUAGGACAGUACCCUGCCACGGUACAGACCCGGGUUCAAAUCCCGGCAGCCGCA
rnacentral:tRNA from 2 species